rnacentral:rRNA from 1 species
GAUGAACGCUGGCGGCGUGCCUAAUACAUGCAAGUCGAGCGAACGGACGAGAAGCUUGCUCUUCUGAUGUUAGCGGCGGACGGGUGAGUAACACGUGGAUAACCUACCUAUAAGACUGGGAUAACUUCGGGAAACCGGAGCUAAUAUCGGAUAAUAUUUUGAACCGCAUGGUUCAAAAGUGAAAGACGGUCUUGCUGUCACUUAUAGAUGGAUCCGCGCUGCAUUAGCUAGUUGGUAAGGUAACGGCUUACCAAGGCAACGAUGCAUAGCCGACCUGAGAGGGUGAUCGGCCACACUGGAACUGAGACACGGUCCAGACUCCUACGGGAGGCAGCAGUAGGGAAUCUUCCGCAAUGGGCGAAAGCCUGACGGAGCAACGCCGCGUGAGUGAUGAAGGUCUUCGGAUCGUAAAACUCUGUUAUUAGGGAAGAACAUAUGUGUAAGUAACUGUGCACAUCUUGACGGUACCUAAUCAGAAAGCCACGGCUAACUACGUG